rfam:Tetrahymena thermophila SB210 genomic scaffold scf_8254468, whole genome shotgun sequence.
GGGUGUGUAGCUCACAUGGUAGAGCGCUUGAUUUGCAUUCAAGAGGCAGGGGGAUCGAUGCCCCCCACAUCCA